rnacentral:rRNA from 1 species
UACGUAGGGUGCAAGCGUUGUCCGGAAUUAUUGGGCGUAAAGAGCUCGUAGGCGGUUUGUUGCGUCGGCUGUGAAAUCCCGAGGCUCAACCUCGGGUCUGCAGUCGAUACGAGCAAACUAGAGUGUUGCAGGGGAGACUGGAAUUCCUGGUGUAGCGGUGAAAUGCGCAGAUAUCAGGAGGAACACCGGUGGCGAAGGCGGGUCUCUGGGCAACAACUGACGCCGAGGAGCGAAAGCGUGGGGAGCGAACAGG